rnacentral:rRNA from 1 species
GACGAACGCUGGCGGCGUGCUUAACACAUGCAAGUCACGGGGGCCCGCAAGGGUAACCGGCGAACGGGUGCGUAACACGUGAGCAAGCUUCCGAUUAGUGGGGGAUAGCCGGCCUAACGGCCGGGUAAUACCGCAUACGACCACUGGGUGGCAUCACCUGGUGAGGAAACCUCCGGGGCUAAUCGAGGCGCUCGCGGCCUAUCAGCUAGUUGGCGGGGUAAUGGCCCACCAAGGCUAUGACGGGUAGCUGGUCUGAGAGGAUGGCCAGCCACAUUGGGACUGAGAAACGGCCCAGACUGCGACGGAGGCAGCAGUGGGGAAUAUUGCGCAAUGGACGAAAGUCUGACGCAGCGACGCCGCGUGUGGGAUGAAGCCUUUCGGGGCGUAAACCACUGUUGCCCGGGACGAAUCUCCCCUUUCGAGGGGAUUGACGGUACCGGGUGAGGAAGCACCGGCUAACUCUGUGCCAGCCGCCGCGGUAAAAC